CCCUCCCCAUGCCACAUGGCCCCGCCCCUCAGCCCGGCCCGUCUCUUCCCAGGCCGCCCUGACCUCGCCCCGCCUCUAACCCCGGGGCCCACCCUCAGCCCCGCCCCCUGACCCCCGGGCCUACCCGUGGCCCCGCCCCCUGAUCCAGGGGGCCGCCUUGUAGCCCGCUGCGCUCGCGGGCCCGCGCAUCCCGUUUCUCCCCGCACGUCUGUGGCUGGAGACUUGGCAGGUGUAAGGACUGGCGGAAGCUAACUGGCGGAACGGCACAGAGGGUACCGAUGGAGCCGUAAAGGGGCCCGGGCCUGCGGAGGGCGUGGCUGUCCACGCGGGGCCGCGGUCCUCACUGCCGCGGCGCCUGCUGUACGCUACCAACAGCCACAGUUGCUUCAUAUGGCGGCGCCGGGAUAUGAAAGUAACAUUUCCCUCUCCAGGAAAGGCAGUCUCUGGUUCCUGUGGUUACCGAUCCCGGGAAUCUUGGCCGGUCAGCCCGUGCUCGCUGCAGACGCUGCGCGAGCCCAGGUGGACGCAGAGAAUCUCUAAGGAUCGUGUUCUCGUCCGGUUCUAUCAUGAAGAUGUUGCAGUGUCACUAAAGCCUUGGGAAGAAUCUGUACUUACCCCAUUAUAAGGAGAAGCUUCACAAAUCAUUCUUGUUUGUUUUGUUUUUGAGACAAGGUCUGGCUGUGUAGCCCAGCCUCCCAAGUGCUGAGAUUACAGGUGUGUGACACCACGCCCGGCACAAAUAAUUAUUGAGAAAGGCCAAUAAUCACUGAAGGGAGUAAUCGAGUUAACAAAGUAUAAAAUGCUAUUAGGCUACAUGCCAGCUUUUUUCCUUUUUUGUUCAGGCAACAUACCUAUAGAUAUAGAAACCUUGACAUGCGUAGAGACUCCCUACAGCCCUCCUGUGGUGCUGAGGAUCAAACGUAGGGCCCUCCAACACACUGGCUGUACCGCCAGUUUUCUCUCCAGCUCUUCUUUGGUAGAGAAUUUCCAGACAGGAUCAGGCUGGCCU
rnacentral:lncRNA from 1 species